AAUCUGACAGCAAAUACCGCGCGAAACAAUUUUUUGUUUUGUCUUGUGGAUUUGUUGAAUGAAAAAAUCCCUGAGGUUACAAACGAUCGCGUUGAAGAUAACCUUGCCAUCAUGUCGAGUGAUGAAGAAGAUGCUUUCAAUCUCGUAAAGAAGCGUAAAAGAUUCUUUUCCGAAGAUUCUAACAAAAGUAUUAAUUUAUCGCCUGCACGCUCCAAUGAACAUAAUAGUGACGAAUGCCAAGAACCUAUAACAAUAAUUCGUAAGUCCUGAAUUAAAAACAAUUAUACUGACUCCGAUAGUGAUAAAGAAGACCAAGGGAAGAAUGUCGUGACGGACAAAAAAAUUUAGAGAGAAAUUUCAUACAUUUAAAAAUAGGUAAUCACAUUUAAAAACUUUGAAUUGAAAUGACUUUGGGGAUGAAUUAACACAAUAUAAUAAGAGAAUGUUGAAGAAACAUCAGCACACAUUAAUUUGUCAGUGUGUGAUCCUGAUGAAUCUGACGAUGAAGGAAAUAGUAUAACAGCCAUAAAGAAAUUAAUUGCUUCUAAAUCAAACUUACCAUCUGUGAAAUCAAAACCAAUACCAAUGUCAGCGAAAGAAGCAAUGGUAAACAUGCAAAAAAUUAAGAGCGAGUCCAACAGAAUGUUAAGAGAAAAAGAGGUUACAUUCCAUAUCAUCGACCCAAGGCAUUAUCUCUUAAAGAUAUUAUGAAUCGCAGAAAACUUGCUGUUUCCAGUGAUGGAAAGACAUUAACUAUUGACAUGAAGGAGCAGCAAUUAAAACACUAUGCAUGUUAGAGGAGAGGCAAAAAGAAAUGAUGGAAUUAUGUAAAAGUGAGUCUGACGAAGAUAACAAAGAAAAAGAAAAUUCAAAUGAAAACAAACUAAAUCAAGCAAACAAAGAACAUGAUCAAGUUGUCACAGAAAAUAUAGCACAAGAGAAUGAUACGAGUUUUGACCAAAUUGCUGUUGAAACUACAUAGUAGUAAUCAUAAAAGUGAAACGCAAGAGGAGUCUUCCCCUCCCUCUUUUUUAAAUAAAUUAGAAAAAGUUGCAAACAAGAUAUGCAUGUUGAUAUAGUUGAACAUAUUUUAGAAAGAGAUACUCAAGAAAGAGUAGCAGAAGAUAUUGCAACUGAAAAAUCCAAUUACUUAGUACAUACUGAUGUCAGUGACAAAAUUGAAACACAUAGUCCAGUAGAUCAUAAAUGAAAUAAGACAAAACCUUAAAAGAAUAUAAGGGUUUAAUAAGCUAAAUUAACAGUAAAAUAUUUUGGUUACAUUUGAUACAUUGACAAAAAGACACUAACAAAACAGUUUCAUGUAAGGAGUUUACAUCAUUCUCCCGCACUAUUUUAAAAUAUAAUCUUUUAAUAAUUCUGGUCUUUUACGGACGCGGCCAGAUCUACGAAGUGUUGGCUCCGGCGGUGAUGAUGAUGGUAACUCAGAUCGGUAGAUCGUCAUGGGUGUCUAAACAUUCUUUCAUGUGGAGUGCAAUUUAUGGCUGUACUUAGUAAAGAUCGAAUUGAAUGUAAGGCUUGUGGUAAUACUUGCUCCCAAUUUUCUACCGAAAGAUUCGUCGUCUUCAGCGCCAAAAGAAUCGUUCUCCAAAGAGUAGAAUUCAAUUUUUCUACUUGACCGUUACCUUGAGGGUUAUAAGCUGUAGUUCUACUAGUGGCAAUACCUCGAACAUGUAAAAAUUCCUGUACUUCUGCAGAGAGAAAUGCUGUUCCGCGAUCUGAAUAACGUAAGAAGGCAUGCCGAAUAUCAUAAACAAGUUGUUGAGGUGUUUAAUCACUGUUUCCGAGCUCACAUCUGAGCAUGAAAAAGCAAACGGUAACUGGUCCUUUAAAAUGUAAGCUAAGGCGUUCAAAAGCAGCCGUCGCUUUAACAAGUUUCCUCUGGUCAUCAAAAGUAUUUCUGAAGAAUCUUGGUUUUACUUCAGAGCAGCUUUGCCAAGAUUUUGUCAUUGUUCUGACUUUUUCAAUGGAAUAGGGAAGGUUUUUAGAGCGAACCCAGUGAAACAUUCUCGUUAUCCCUGGAUGGCAAAGAGCCUCAUGCAGCGAGAAAAGUUAUGCAGUACGUGUUUCUACGGUGGCACAAACUCGGGAUAGUGCAUCAGCAGCAUAGUUCUCUUUCCCCUGUCUGUAUAUAAUAUCAAAUUUGAAAACAGCAAAUUCCAGUCGCCAUCUUUGAAUCUUUUCAUUCUUUAUCUUACUUGAAUGUUUCAUAUUAAACAUAAAAGAAACCGAGCGUUGGUCAAUUACCAACUUAAAGUGUCUACCGAUAAGGAAAUGUCUCCAUUUGUUCAAUGAUUCAACAAUGGCGUACUAUUAUUAGUAUUUUUCAAUGGCGGAAUGGUUUUGUUCGCUUGAAUUUGAAUUUUCUUUUAAAGUUCUUGAGAAAAAUGCCACUGGUCUAGAAUUUUGCGUAAGUACUGCUGCAAUGGAAUGAUCGGAAGCGUCAGUUUCGACUGUAAAAGGUAUAUUUACAUCAAUUGCAUGUCAAGAAGACGUUGCGAUAUCAUUUUCCAGGCCUUCGAAACAUUUAAUUUGCUCGCUUGUGAGCGGAAACGUUGUCGUAUUAGCAAAUGAGUGGAUCCGUUCAGAAAAGUUUCGAAUGCACUUAGCUCGGAAACUCGGCAUGUGCGAACAUGCCGAGUGUCCUUCUUAAGGUCGGUAAAUCGCUUGGUGCAGGUAAAUUAAUCAGUGACUUGAGUCGAGCUUUAAUUAUGUGGUUGUGAAUAUUAUAGCCUAGAAUAUUAAUUGACUCUUGAGAAAAUUAGCAUUUUUGCAUACUCAGUGUUAAACUGUAUUUCUUUGCGGCAUUCAUAAAACUUUCUAAGAUGAUCGUGUUCUUCAAGAGUACGGUCACAAAUAGUUAUAUCAUCAAGAUACGCAUAUGUGUUUUGAAGCUUUUCUUUCCUUAUAAUCCAAUCGAUUGUUCGUUGGAAACUCGAAACACCAUUUGUUACUCCAAAAGGAAUACUGCGCCUGAACUGGUACAAAUUUCCGAGCGCUUCAAAAGCGGUAAAUUUUCUUUCUUCGGGUAGUAUAGGUACUUGAUGGUACCUAUACUACCGAAGUCUAUUAGGCUGAAAAAUAUAUUCUUUGCCACUUUCGAAACUAAAUCUUCAAUGUUUGGUACGCGUCGAGUUCUGUGUAACGAUUAAUUGUCUGAGAGUAAUCAAUCACAAGACGUUUUCUAUGAGUUUCGCUUUUUGUUAUUAGUAUUUGGGCCCUCCACGGUGAUUUACUUUCUUUAAUCACGCCUUCUUCUGAUUUCCUCUUUAAUAAAUUCACUAUCCUCUUUGCUGUGCCUUCGAGACUUAAUAGCAAUAGGUUUGCAGUUGGGAGAUACAUUCGCAAAAAGCGGUGUAGCUGGUACUGAUGCUUCGGCUACGUUACAUACUUGAAGUGGAUGUUUUGGCCCACCGAAAGAGAACUCUAGCGAUGAAUGUUCUUCGAGGACGUCAUGGCCAAUAAUUAUGUCAGCACAAAGAUUUUUCACGCUAAGAAGAUUCACAUCAUCAUAUUUAUGAUUUCCAAUUUUUAGGCUUUGCAAAGUUUGACCUUCUACUUGUGAAGUAUGAUUAAGAGAGGCCAUAGAAAUAAUCUGAUUGCAGGAUUUUCUUUUAAACCCGCAUAGUCUUGCAAAACUGUCAUUUAUAAAUCUGAUAGAGCUGCCGGUGUCGAGAAGUGCUUCUGCUCUUAUUCCUCGAAUAUACGCGGGUACUGUAGCUUUAUGUAAUGAAGAAGGUGACACUGCUGUGAGCUUCUGCAAAGAGUGGCAAAGUGCCCCUUCUUGUUGCAGAGCUGACAAGACUUUUCAAAUGCAGAGCAGUUCUUACGAGGAUGUAUUUGUCCCCCACGCACGCUUUCGUUUUUGUUUGUUUCUGCAUCAACAACCGCAAAGUCACAAUCUUUAGAAAGUAGUUUCAAAGCUUGUAAAUAUAUGUCGAUACUUUCUUCUGGUCGUUGUUUCCUAGCUGUGGAGACUUUGAUACACUUAAUUUUCUCUGAACAGAUUCUUGAUCGUGACAAUAACAACAAUUUUUAGUAGUAAAUGCUUCAUUAAUCACAAACACUGACAAAUUCUUUCUUCGUUUUAUAAUAUUAAGUACAGUAAGUUAUAACAUUAUGUCUAAACUUCCUGUGACCCUUGAAGGUUCCUUUGUUCAUUAAAUCGAACCCAGCACCGUAUACAACCAAAGUGUCUGGUUCUUUUCCAAAAUAAUCGUCUACAAUUUAAUGCAACAUCUUCUGAUCAUUGAUGUAUUUGUCGAAUUUUAAACGUUAACGUUAAUCUUAUUUUCUCUUAAAAUCUUUGUUUUUCAUCGAACCACUUUAGUUGAAAUCUGGUGUAGACUUCUGCGUUUCGAGAUUUUCUAGUUAAUUCGACACCCGACUCUUAUUCGACAGACUCUCUGUCCACUCGUAUGCGCUCCUCUAUGUCUUUGAUGAAACGCAAUCUUUUCCGAACUCUAUGACACUCUUUUGAUUUGUAUACUACACGUUCCUUUUUCACGACCUUGUACGAGAAAUCAUCUCCAUUACGAGUACAUGUAACUAUCGGUGUUUUGGUGUCCAGGAUCCACUGCUAUGACUUUUGAAUAGUUUCGUUUACUACCAACGGCAGUGUUCUCUAGUGAUUCUUCGCACUUUUUAUCCUUCUUUCAUUUAAAUUUUUGACCCUUUUGUACAAUGCGAUUCAUAGAUAGACACACACUCACUCAAUCUGUGGAUAAACUAUACCCAAACUUACGGGGUAAUGUGAAAUGUCGGUUCCAGUACAUGGUAGUGUUCUCAGAAAACACAGGCCAAGUAGGUGUGUUAUUUGGAUCAACUCUUCUUAAAAUUUCAUGAAUACAUCUUGAAUCGUAUGUUAUAAAUUUUAAUCAAUGUGAAUAUAUCGGAAAAACGUUGAACGAUAACUUGCCUUGAUCGAACAACUCGUGUUGAAUCAUCAGGAAUAGUGGAAUAAAUCUCCAAAAGUUUUUCUUUAGUUCUUUAGAAUUGAUUUUAUUCUCAGAAAACCAUUCUCCGAUUAUAUUAGAUUUACACAUCCCGUUAUAGUACGCAUCAUAAGUUGAAGAGGGAACUUCAGAUUUGUCCAAAUCUGUACCAAAUUCAUGAUACAUGUAUCUUUUAAGUCUUUUGAAAGCAUGAGUUUGUAUAUUUGUCUCCAAAAUUGUGCUGUAUUGUUUUGCAAUCUGCAUAAUUGUGAAUGAUCUCGAUCGACCAUCGUAAAAUGUCUCAACGAUAUAUAUGUAGAGAUUACGUUGUCUGGAUAGGUUAAUUUAUGUUUUGCGCCCUUCAAUGCAUAUGUAAAUUGCAAUGCAUCAAAUUUAGGAAACAUUACAUGAAAAUCAUCACGAGUGCUGUAGUGUUUGUAGAAAAAGUUUACCAGAUACGAUAGCUCUAUUGAUAAUCUGGACAUUUCUCGUACAUCAUCACGUAUGGCACAAACAAUUGCUUCUUUACAAUCGUUCAACGGGCACAACACAGAGGUGAGAUCCUUCUUGAAACGGAAUAAACGGAAAUUUCUUGAUCAGAGUCCAUACCAGUUUCGCGUAUACGACGUUUUCUAUUUAAACAUUUGGCACUGGAAGAACGUUGAUGAUCAUCUUUACCGCAAGACGGACAAGGCAUCUUUUAGAUUCUCAUUGAUAUUUGUACUUAAAGUGAGAGGAUUAAAACUUUUAUUUUUCACAUGUACAAACUAUAAGCGUACGAUGUCGAUCUGAACCACCGCCGCUAUUCUCGAAAUGAAACUCAGAGUGGAGUUAUAAAUCUUCCGUUUAUUGGUCGAACGUUAGUGAUGGUGACACAAAAUAAUAUAGCGAAGCAAGCUUACAACUAACGUCCGUCCGGCACGGCUGCUUAAAUCUAUCUGAAGCUAUAC